CUCCGCUUGGUGUAGUUGGUUUAUCACGUCGGGCUGUAAUAUCAUCAGAAUACCUGAAGGUCCCUAGUUCGAUUCUGGGAGCGGAGA